AAUAGAUACCCCGGUAGUCCACGCAGUAAACGAUGCAGACUAGGCGUGGGGGGGACUUGACCCCCUCCGUGCCGCAGCCAACGCGUGAAGUCUGCCGCCUGGGGAGUACGGCCGCAAGGCUAAAACUCAAAGGAAUUGACGGGGGCCCGCACAAGCGGCGGAGCGUGCGGUUUAAUUCGAAGCAACGCGAAGAACCUUACCAGGUCUUGACAUCUCCUGACCGCCCUGGAGACAGGGUCUUCCCUUCGGGGACAGGAUGACAGGUGGUGCGUGGUUGUCGUCAGCUCGUGUCGUGAGAUGUUGGGCUAAGUCCCGCAACGAGCGCAACCCUUGUCCUUAGUUGCCAGCAUUCAGUUGGGCACUCUAGGGAGACCGCCGGCGUCAAGCCGGAGGAAGGCGGGGAUGACGUCAAGUCCUCAUGGCCUUUAUGUCCAGGGCUGCACACGUGCUACAAUGGUGCACACAAUGGGAUGCCAAGUCGCGAGACGGAGCCAAUCCCACAAAAAUGUACCCCAGUUCGGAUUGCAGG
rnacentral:rRNA from 1 species